AUUUCCCGUACGAUCAUAAAAGUUAAGCAACGUCGAACCUGGUCAGUACCUAGAUGGGUAAUCGCUUGGGAAUACCAGGUGCUGUAAG